UACGUAGGAGGCAAGCGUUGUCCGGAAUUACUGGGCGUAAAGCGCGUGUAGGUGGUGGGACAAGUCUGCUGUGAAAGCGCCUGGCUUAACCGGGCGAGGUCGGCGGAAACUGUCCGACUCGAGGACGGUAGAGGGGGGUGGAAUUCCCGGUGUAGUGGUGAAAUGCGUAGAGAUCGGGAGGAACACCUGUGGCGAAGGCGGCCCCCUGGGCCGGCCCUGACACUGAGACGCGAAAGCGUGGGGAGCGAACAGG
rnacentral:rRNA from 1 species